rnacentral:rRNA from 1 species
UACAGAGGGUGCGAGCGUUGUUCGGAAUUAUUGGGCGUAAAGGGCGCGUAGGCGGUGCGGUAAGUCACCUGUGAAAUCUCCUGGCUCAACUGGGAGCUUGCAGGCGAAACUGCCGUGCUGGAGUGUGGGAGAGGUGCGUGGAAUUCCUGGUGUAGCGGUGAAAUGCGUAGAUAUCUGGAGGAACACCGGUGGCGAAGGCGGCAUCCUGGACCAUUACUGACGCUGAGGAGCGAAAGCCAGGGGAGCAAACGGG